GCAGAUAUAGUUUAACAAAAACGUUAGAUUGUGAAUCUAAAGACAAAAGAUUAAACCUUUUUAUCUACC
rnacentral:tRNA from 1 species